rnacentral:rRNA from 2 species
UUCCGGUUGAUCCUGCCGGACCUGACUGCUAUCGGAUUGAUACUAAGCCAUGCGAGUCAUUGUAGCAAUACAAGGCAGACGGCUCAGUAACGCGUAGUCAAUCUACCCUAUGGACGGGAAUAACCUCGGGAAACUGAGAAUAAUGCCCGAUAGAACAUUAUGCCUGGAAUGGUUUAUGUUUCAAAUGAUUUAUCGCCAUAGGAUGGGACUGCGGCCUAUCAGUUUGCUGGUGAGGUAAUGGCCCACCAAGACUAUUACAGGUACGGGCUCUGAGAGGAGUAGCCCGGAGAUGGGUACUGAGACACGGACCCAGGCCCUAUGGGGCGCAGCAGGCGAGAAAACUUUGCAAUGUGCGAAAGCACGACAAGGUUAAUCCGAGUGGUUUCUGCUAAAGAAACCUUUUGUCAGUCCUAGAAACACUAACGAAUAAGGGGUGGGCAAGUUCUGGUGUCAGCCGCCGCGGUAAAACCAGCACCUCAAGUGGUCAGGAUGAUUAUUGGGCCUAAAGCAUCCGUAGCUCGUUUUGUAAGUUUUCGGUUAAAUCCAUGCGCUUAACGUAUGGGCUGCCGGGAAUACUGCAUAACUAGGAAGUGGGAGAGGUAGACGGUACUCGGGAGGAAGGGGUAAAAUCCUUUGGUCUCUUGAUGACCACCUGUGGCGAAGGCGGUCUACCAGAACACGUUCGACGGUGAGGGAUGAAAGCUGGGGGAGCAAACCGGAUUAGAUACCCGGGUAGUCCCAGCUGUAAACUAUGCAAACUCAGUGAUGCAUUGGCUUAUGGCCAAUGCAGUGCUGCAGGGAAGCCGUUAAGUUUGCCGCCUGGGAAGUACGUACGCAAGUAUGAAACUUAAAGGAAUUGGCGGGGGAGCACCACAA